rnacentral:rRNA from 1 species
UACGUAGGGUGCAAGCGUUGUCCGGAAUUAUUGGGCGUAAAGAGCUCGUAGGCGGCUUGUCACGUCGGAUGUGAAAGCCCGAGGCUUAACCUCGGGUCUGCAUUCGAUACGGGCUAGCUAGAGUGUGGUAGGGGAGAUCGGAAUUCCUGGUGUAGCGGUGAAAUGCGUAGAUAUCAGGAGGAAUACCGAUGGCGAAGGCAGGUCUCUGGGCUGACACUGACGCUCAUGCACGAAAGCGUGGGGAGCAAACAGG